UUGAAUGCAUAUUGCGCCGUUGGGUUUUGCUCUUCGGCAUAUGUGAUUCAGGGUAUGUUUAUUGACAGCAGUGCUUUUAUUUGCUUUCCGAUUGUGGAAUUUUUUAAAGCAACUGUUAUUUACGAGACCAGCAAUUGUUUGAACGCAAAAUUUAUUUUGAUGUUUAAGUAUUUGUUUAUCUUGGACAGAAACGUAGCGUAAUGCUGCUUUCGGUUACAGUGUCAGAAAUUGUUUGUAUGAUUGGGGUUGUUGCGACGUUGUUGUAAUAAUUUCUUUCUAAACAUGCAAGAUAUCACUGGAAUAGUUUUUGCAGACUUGUGCUUUGAACGUGCUUAGUGCAUUUUUACUUGUUUGUAAGGACUGUUCUGUGUGAGGGUCAUUCAUUUUUGUUUGACUGCUUGUAUGGCAGACGAUUUAGUUUUA
rnacentral:misc_RNA from 1 species